CGCGCGCGCGCGGCAGAGAGAGAACGAGAACCAGAUCCCUCCGCCGAGACAAAGAGUCCCAACCCUUUCCUUUCCCCUCCGCCCCUCCUUUCACUCAAACAUUGAGUCCCCUCUCUCUCUCUUCAGCCGCUUGAAACACACACAUUAAAAAGCCCCCCCCCUCGAAUUAAAACACAAUAAGGCUCCGAUGUGGGCGGGUAUCUGUGCUGAGAGUCGCUUUCUCUCUUCACUUACAGAGAAGGCCUCGGCGGAGGGAUACCAAAAGGAGGAGAAGGGGAGUGAGUGAGUGAGUGAGUGAGGCGAAAGAGGGCCCUGUGGCGGCGAAGAAGAAGACGACGACGUCGGCGGCGGCGCUGUUGGUGGCUGGGUUUCAAUGUGGGCGAAAGAGGAAGGAGCCCGAUGAGGCAGGCCCCCAAUGCCCCCCGGGGAUGGUGGCCCCGCUGGGCGAGGCGAGGCGAGGCAUGGCAAGGCGGCGGGAGAAAACGAAGGCCCCUUGGCAAAGGGAGGGAGGCAAGUAGGCCGGGAAGGAGCCGCCUCCAGACAGCCUCCCUCCCCAGCCCUUCCUUCUUUCUUUCUCUCUCCCUCUCUGUCUUUUCUAUGUCCCUCUGAUUUCCAUAUGCUUGCAAGUUUAUAAUAUCAUCUUAUGGUUUGUUUUUCCCCCCCUCCUCAUAAUGAUGGAAGAAGAAUCUCUGUGAGAAAGAGAAGGGAUGUUCUUUCUGGGUUGCUGUAUGGUCAUGUUCCAGAAGCAAUAUCUCCUGACGUUUCGCCUGCAUCUAUGGCAGGCAUCCUCAGAGGUUGUGAGGUCUGUUGGAAACUAGGCAAAGGAGGUUUGUAUAUCUCUGGAAUGCCCAGGUUGGGAAAAAAGAACUCUUGUCUGUUUGAGGCAAGUGUGAAUAUUGCAGUUGGCCACCUUGAUUAGCAUUGAAUGGCCUUGAAGCUUCAAAGCCUGGCUGCUUCCUGCUUGUGGGAAUAUUUUAUUAGCUGGCCCUGAUUGAUUCCUGUCUGGAAUUCCCUUGUUUUCAGAGUGUUGUCCUUUAUUUACUGUCCUGAUUUUAGAGUUGUUUUAAUACUGGCAGUUAGAUUUUAUUCAUAUUCAUGGUUUCCUCCUUUCUAUAAUAACUUUAUUGAUAACCCAUCCUAUCUCACCAAGGGGACUCAGGGCAGUUUCCAACAAACGAUGGCAAACAGUGCCAUAAAACAAUAUGAAAUGAACAAAUAGCUCCAUGAAUGCCCCCGAUUUCCAUCAUUUCCAGGCAUCCUCAAAGGUUGUGAGAUCUGUUGGAAACUACACAAGUGGGGUUUGUAUAUAUCAGUGGAAUAAUGUCCAGGGUGAGAGAAAGAACUCUUGUUUGUUUGAAAAAUUGUGAAUGUUGCAAUUGGCCACCUUGAAUAGCCUUGCAGCUUCAAAGCCUGGCUGUUUCCUGUCUGAGGGAAUAUCUUGUUAAGAGCUGUUAGCUGGCCCUGAUUGUUUCUUUUUUCCUUCAAUUUUUCCCAUUAGGAGUGGAAAAGUGUUAAUGUGUGAGAGAAAUAAACAUGUAUCCAAAGUCUCCUAAGUCAGGUUCCUCUGGUAUUGGUAGAGUCACCUGCAUGUAAGAGAAAUAACCAUUUUCUCUCCCCCCCCCCCCCCACCAUUACAUUGUCUUCAUUAGGAGUGCCUCAUUAUGGAUAGAAGGAUGUCUGUGUAUGAGAGAAAGACCCCCCCCCUUCCCCCCCUUGACUAUAUGAUUUUCUCCAUUGUUACUGUCACAAUAGGAAUAUUUUUUAAUGAUUUGUAUUUUUUAAAAAUCUGCCUUAUUUCUGGAUGGUACUACUUGGUGGCAGUUGGUGGGUUUUAUUUUAUAGUUUUAAAAAAGCUGUAAACGCCAAAGCAGGCAUGAUGGAAAUGGAGGCUGGGCUUCAGGUAAUAUAUAGCUGAAUCGAUCAGGGACAGAAGGGUGACCAGCAAAACCACGAUUAAUGGUUAUAUUUGCAUUUUUCUUUUCCUGCUGAUUGUGGGGAAUGAACAGGGUUCAGCUGCCUAAAGGUGACCUGUGCUGCCUUCUUGUAAGGAAAGCAUAUUUUUAAGGUGUAAUUGCACUUUAUUUGUAUUCUCUCAGGGUACAUCUUGGUUCUAUACUGUAUCCAUAUUUUGGAAUGGAAAGUAAGGCAUUAAUAAAAAUGCUUUCUCUUGAAUAAAAAAUGAUAGGCAGUAAGAUCCUGUAUUUCAGAGAUGACGAACCUGGGUAAAAAAUGACUUCUUUUCUGGUGAGAAAUAUUGCUGUCUUUCAUUAAAUUGAGAUAACUGACUGCUUCUGUGUAACUUAAAUCCAAAUGAUUAUUGUACUGUUUUAAGUUCAGUAUGAAGAAUUUUUCCUGACCGUGGACCACAAAAGGAAGAAAAGACUGUGCCGAUGCAUUUUCUAUCAUCCAAAGCUGAAGUUGUUAUAUUAAGAGUAUUUAUUAAGCAAUUGUUUCAGAUUCAUUUACCACAAUUUUUAUCUGGAAAAUUAAACAAUGUACGCUACUAGUCUAGCAAUAUGGAUUGUAUCAGUAAAAAGAAGGAUUCUUGAAUUGAAAACAUCUAUGUUACCUAGUUGUCCUCUGGUUUACAAAUUAGUACAGAACUGAUUUAAGCAAUUCAAAUUUGAAUAUUAUGUUUCUCUUUUACAUGUUUUUUGUUCAGCCUCGCUGUAUUGAUCACUACUGUAUUUUUCUGAGACUAAUAUUUAUGUGUGAUAGAACUGUAUGAAGAUUUAAAUCUCAUUGAUCUUUUAAAUAAAGCAUUAUCUCUUUUAAAUUACACUGAAGCCUUUUCUUUAAGAUGCAGUACAUGACUGGUGACCCUAGUAAGCAAUGUUAAUAAGGUCUGCAAGUUUAUCUUAACUGGUUUUACAAUUCUAUACGUGUAUACAAUAGAUAAGGAUUUUCUUAUGAGUUAUGACUGUAUAUUUAUGUAGAAUUCAAUUUUAUAUGAAAUGAUUAAAAGUUUUUGCUUGGAAAAAAGCCUAUUGUGAAUAUAAUGGCUUUCUCUUUGUUGUUUCAUAUCUAUUGCCAUAAUUUUGUUGAUUAGAUUCAUAUACAGACACUUUCAUUUUUGUUAUCAGAGACAGAAGCCACUAUACAAGCAAAAGAUUCAUUUAUUUCAGUUUAAAAUUACUGCUCUGCAAGAAGGUCAUUGGCUUCGUUUUGCAUUCAAGUAGCUUUGUCUCCUCCACACUGCUUAGAAUUAUUUGAGUAUUAAACAUUUAAAACCAAGAGUAUUGAGGGUUCUAUGGUUUAUUUAAUUGUUCCAUUACCUUAUUUUCAUGGCUAUUUUAGCAGUAAGAUAUUCUUGGUUUGUGUGCUAGAAGGACAUUUCAAAAAUUUACAUAAGUCUUUACAAAUAUAUUUUGAAAUGUCUAUAUUUGGUCAAUUUAGAUUAUCCUUAAUUUAGCUCAAAUGUGUUAUCAUGUGAUGGUUCUUUGUGAACUGCUUCUGUUACAAUGAGGCUUACUUUACACAAGUGAAAUGCCCUCUUUUCAGAUUAAAAUGGCUGAUCAAAAUAUAAACCAUUAUGGUCUUGUACAAAACCAUGUUGUAUUACAAAAAAUAGUUCUCUCCCCCCCCCCCCCAAUUGUAAUCUGGCAUCCUGAAGACCAGUGUUUGAUAUUUAUGUUUUUUAAAGGAUGGCUGUUGAGUUUCAUUAAACUUACAAAGAUUUUUGUCAAUUUUACAGAGAAACUGAGUUUGGUAGUCCCUUUUAGAACUUCUUUGAAAAUGUUAUUCACUUAUAACAAUAACAUGUGCUAUAAUUAGAUAAAUUUUAGUAGUAUUUAUGGUCUAUUUGAAAUAGGAGAUACAAUUAGCUAUAUACCAUUGGUUGUUAAAAUAAAUUAGAAAAAGAAUUAUCAACAUUGCUCCAAGGGGUUAGAUCCAAAAAAUGAAUGGAAGAGGUCCACUUUUUUAGUGCUCUUUUAUGAACUCUUUCAUGGAAUCAGGACCCUGGAACUGCAUUACAUUAUGCUAUACACAAUUCAUGAUCCUGGCAGUGGUGGGGAAGUGUGUUUCAUUUCAACAUGUAAUGUAGUUCGGAAACCCAAACAUUCUGGUUUAAUAGGUUCUUUAUUGCAAAGUAAGCCCUGACUAUCACAGUUGCAAGUUCUGCAAUACAGAAUUAUUUAAAUACAAGCCAUUGUUACUUUAUUUGUUGCAUGUAUAUGCCAGAUUUAUCCCAGAGUGGUCUUCCUAAUGAGGAAAAUUCCCAUUUGAGCUUUCUUAACAAAUGGAUUUCAAACACCAUUCUGUGAAUGAAAGUACUUCAGAACCUGGUACAAAGGGAACAAAUUAUGAUGUCUUUGUUUUUUGUUUGUUUUUUUCUAUUUCCAUCUUCCCCUGGAACUGCCCUGAAUCACACCCAUACUGUUCUGGGGACCCUGCAACCCUCUAGAACAGAGUUUUAGAGAUACAGACCUAUCCUCUUCCACUUAUGAAAGAAGAGGAAAGGACUGUUUGGGAAGGAGGUCUCCCUUGGCAAAUGUGAAUAAGGACUCCCAUGAUUGUAGCAACAUCAGCACUUCUUCCAUUGGAGCAUCACAGGCAACGAGUCAUAAAUAUGCAAAGAAAAAGACAUUUCAGAUACAAGUGAAACGGAGAGUGAAAAACUACUCCAGUAUGGAUUUCCUUUCUGGCUGUUUACAUUUGAUACUGAAUCAGAGUUGUAUAGAACUAAAAUGAACUGAUACUGACAUGCUUAUUAAAAUCCCCCAAGAACUGAAAUACAUGGAAGCCUUUAGAUCAUGCGCUGAUUAAGUCCGCAUUCUCUGAUAUAAAGAAUAUAUAUUCAGUUAUACAGUUUAUUUCAAAAUGCCUGCUGUCAUAUGUAUAAUGUAUAAUACACAUGUAAAAACCAAAUUGGACAAACAGUUCAUUUUUCACAGUAAAAUAUGGCAAAAGGAUCCAUUAUUUGUAUCACUCAAAAUAAUUUUUUGUCAUCUUUCACUCUCUUGUCUCUUGUGACUUAGAUCUUGCAGCUGUUGAAAUGGUUUUCUUAGAGAAUAAAUUAUAAGUGGUUGUCUACUGAUUAAAGGUGUUUAGUCAGUUUACUCACCUGACUUCUUAACAAAUAAUUUUACCUAAAUCUGAAUUUAAUUAACCAAAUCAGCCUCAAAGGCCACUGAUUUUUUAAAUUCAAUUUGAGAGUUUAUUGUUUAAUAUUUUAAAAAGCUACCUCAUUUUAGAUUAUUUUAAUAUUUUCCUUUUCUUUCUCUACUGUUAUACAGUAUAAGCAAAAUAAGUUUUAAAAAUAAAAAACUGUCUCUAGCAGCAUCAAGAUUUAACAUUUCCAUUGACAUUAAUAUGCUAAAGUUUAAGCAUAUUUAUUUCCCAGUUAUUUAAGUGAUGGUAAUUAAAAUAAACAGAUGUUUUAAUGACAAAUUAGCAUACAGCAACAGAUCUCACUAUGUUGUUUGAGUAAAAUAAAAUAAUCAAGUUUUGAAUUCAAUAAUGGCCAUUUUAAAUAUUAACGUGCUUCCAUGUGACAAAUAUGAUCUUCACUGUGGCCAUGUUGACUUCACCUUUCAUAUCACAUGACAAACAGUUAUAGGCAGUAACAAAUAUUUAAAAUAUAAAGUGUCCAUGAGUAAAUGCUUCUGAAUCUAAACUAAAAACCUAUUUGGUAGUUUUAAUCACCUCGUUUUCAUUCCAAGCUAAGUGCUCAUAUUUACAUUGCGUUAUUUUUCCAAUACAUUGUAGUACACAUAUUGUUAUUUUUUAAAAUUGUUUUCUCUGUGAAUCCAUUUACCUCUUUGACUAUUUUUGUGAUGUUUCUUUUAUAUUUACAUUUAAAGCUAAACAUCUUCCUUGGAAAGGUAAAGUGACAAUCCCUUUAAAUAACAUUUUAAUAUGUUAUUUAUAUGAUGGGUAAUUGUGCCAGAUUAUAUCCACAGGUGCUUUUCUGUAGCAGAAUGUUGUGGGACCCAUGCAGGCAGACCACCCAAUUUAGCAGGGAUCCUUUGUAUUCACUUUAGUCUUACUAGGAACAUCAACAGCAGUUUUUGAGGUUGUGUAUACGAGCCUUCUAAUCACCUGUCAAAUUUUUGGUGACCCCAUGGAUUUCAUAGACUUUUCUGAUGCAAGGCAUCCUCGGAGGUGAUUUUGCCAGUUUCCUCCUUUGAAAUAUAACCUAUAGCCCCAGGAGGCACAGUGGGUUAAACCUUUGUGGCAGCAGGACUGAUGACUUGAAAGUUGGACUUGAAGAUUGCCAGUUCGAAUCCAACCCAGGGAAAGCGUGGAUGAGCUCCCUCUAUCAGCUCCAGCUCCAUGCGGGGACAUGAGAGAAGCCCCCCACAAGGAUGGUAAAAACAAAAACGUCUAGACGUCCCCUGGGCAACGUCCUUGCAAAUGGCCAAUUCUCUCACACCAGAAGCAACUUGCAGUUUCUCAAGUUGCUCUUGACACGAAGAAAAAAAAGUACCUGAUAUUCAUUGGGGAUCUCCCAUCCAAGUACUAUCCUGGACCAACUGCUUAACUUCCAAUAUUAGAUGUGAUCUGAUCCCUUUAGGAUACAGUAUUUAUUGAUUAGGGCUCUCUAAAACAGGAUGGAAGAUCGCAUGGAGGGCUCCAUUUCUAAAGUCAGGCAGUUUGCCCUGACCUGUAGAAACACUUUCAACAAAGGCACAGUCACCAUUAGAUACAUGCUAUUGUCAUCAAACACACUGCAGUUAUUGGUAUGAAAAUUAGUGUCAUCAUAUUCAUGUUUAUUUACAUGCAAAUCCAAUCAUGUUUGGAAUUACCAUCAAAUAAAGUGACCCUUUCUGUGUCUAAUGCUA